rnacentral:rRNA from 1 species
UACGAAGGGGGCUAGCGUUGCUCGGAAUCACUGGGCGUAAAGCGCACGUAGGCGGAUCGAUCAGUCAGGGGUGAAAUCCCAGAGCUCAACUCUGGAACUGCCUUUGAUACUGUCGAUCUGGAGUAUGGAAGAGGUGAGUGGAAUUCCGAGUGUAGAGGUGAAAUUCGUAGAUAUCCGGAGGAACACCCGUGGCGAAGGCGGUUCUCUGGGACGGUACUGACGCUGAGACGCGAAAGCGUGGGGAGCGAACAGG